rnacentral:lncRNA from 1 species
UUGAUUUAGGGUUUAAGGUUUAGUUAGGAUUUGAUUUAGGAUUUAUUUAGGAAUUGGUUAGAUUUAGGAUUUAGGAUUUGGUUUAGGAUUUGGUUGGCAUUUGGUUUAAGAUUUAUUUAGGAUUUGGUUUAGGGUUUGGAUAGAAUUUGAUUUACGGUUUGGUUAGGGUUUGGUUUAAGAUUUGGUUUAGGAUUUGAUUUAGGGUUUAGUAUUUGAUUUAGGAUUUAAGAUUUUAUUAGGGUUUUUUUAGGGUUUAAGAUUUAAUUAUUUUUGGCCUAAAGUUUGAAUGAAGUCCAAUAGAAUUUUAAUUAGGAUUAAAUUAAGAUUGAAUUGAGAUGUAUUUGAAAUAUAUUUGUGAUCAUUUUAAUAUUUUUUUAAGAUUUCUUAUUGUUUCUUUGAAAUUUCUUUGAGAUUUCUUUGAAUUUGAUUAAAGCUUUCUUAGCAUUAUUAUGGUCUAAUUAGAGUUUAGUUAAUAUUCUAUUAGAGUUAGGAUUUUAUUGUUGCAAUUU